rnacentral:rRNA from 1 species
AUUGAACGCUGGCGGCAGGCCUAACACAUGCAAGUCGAACGAGUGGCGGACGGGUGAGUAAUGUCUGGGAAACUGCCCGAUGGAGGGGGAUAACUACUGGAAACGGUAGCUAAUACCGCAUACCAUCGGAUGUGCCCAGAUGGGCUUAGCUAGUAGGGGGGGUAAUGGCUCACCUAGGCGACGAUCCCUAGCUGGUCGGAGAGGAUGACCGGCCACCUGGGAACUGGGACACGGUCCAGCCUCCUACGGAGGGCAGCAGUGGGAAAUUUUGCAAAAUGGGCGCAAUCCUGAUGCAGCAAUGCCGCGUGUAUGAAGAGGGCCUUCGGGUUGUAAAGUACUUUCAGCGAGGAGGCGUUACUCGCAGAGGAAGCACCGGCUAACUCCGUGCCAGCAGCCGCGGUAAUAC